AAAAAAGAAAAAAAUGGAAGUUCGUGAAGUUGCUCAUGCAGCUAUGCCAGCAGGCACAAAAACCUUGCCUUUUUGCAAAAUGCCUUUUGUCUCAGAUCCAAUAUGUAGCUUUUGAGUGAGUGUAGUUGUAAUCCAUAAGACUUCACAGUAGGCUGUUAGUAGUUAAGUAUUUGAGAAGUGGAAAGUUAUACCCAGGUUUUCAAUGGGGGAGGGGAAAGGGGGAAGCUGUCUUGCUGCCCAUGCUACUCAAGGGUUAUUGUUCUUUCAACAGGGCUCACUCACCAAGUACGUGCCUCUGCCCUUGGCUGAUCCCUGUCCCUGAGCCCUCCCACUGGGCUCAAACAGUUCACUGUAAGGUGGCUCUGCUGUAAAGCACACCUCUACUCAAUCUGUCAACUGAGGGGGACUUCGAAACAUACCUUUUUGUGAGAAUCCUCAAUCACAUGAUUGCCUCCUGGCUGAAUAUCUAAAGUAAUAUUGGGGACCUGGUAACCUGGAAAAGUUACAUACAACACAAUCAGAAGGUCCCUGGUUCAAGAGGAUUGACUGACAACCCUUUCUCCCCUCUCCUUCCUACUGCUACAAAAAUAAUAGCAAAAGAAUAAAAGCAGAAACCACAGCCGCCGCCACCACCAAUGAAGGCCAAGGACCCCACGCCAUACUGAGGAGACACAGUUGUGAGCCAGAAGGGAGCCACUGGCCCUGUGGCAUCCGAGUCCUGGGGGGAGGGGACACCACCCUCCGCGAUGGGCGGAAGGAGACACAGAGAUGAGCAUAAGGUGCAUGGGCCCUUCCCACUCCAAGCCCAAGACGGCGGCGUGGCUUGCAGUGUCAAGGAAACGGAGAAUUCUUGUCCAGUGAAAUGGACGGAACUCGGGAGAAAAAGCAAGUAGCUAAUUUGGACAUCGAGACGUCUGAGUAAAAACCUCAGACUCUGUCUUGUACAGGUUUCCAGGAAUAAUGGCUCAGUAAAUAAUAUUGCUGAAUAAGUGAAUGUCUAACAGUUCCAUCCCUGAGCUCAUAUUUCCUUUUUUUCUAAUUUGUGCCCUGCCUACCUCCUUUUAACCCUGUAACGCAGGGUUUAAUUGUAAUAUAUACAAUUAAAUGUAUAUAUUAGUAUAUAUUGAUAACUAUGAAAGAAUAAAAACAAAAAAAUUUCCCCCCUGAAAUUAAAAAUUCAGCCGUUAUAGGGUUAACCCUAUCCUUUGAAAAAGAGGUAAGUCAAAAAAAAAAAGAAAAAGAAAAAGAAAAAGAGGCAAAGCAGCCGUGCUUAUUCUGUAUUAGCUGUGAGCAGGCAGGCAAGGAGGAAUCUGCUCUGUCCCCGCCAGAGGUCAAUGAGAUUACAUGGACGGCAUCUUUCUAGGCAGUGUGCGAGGAGCCACGGUCCUUUCUGGGCUGUCUCCUACCUUCGCCCGUGUUCUUGGCAUGCUCAGCGGUGGCUUCCCUGAGCUUCUCCGUGUAGCUCACGAUUCCUUUCAGAGGGACCCGCUCAUCGUUUUCGUACGCUGUGAUGUGAAGCGCAGGGUAAUGCUAAAAGAAAGCACGUGCACAGUUUAUUCCCCGCGCUCCCCUGUCAUCUUACAGAUCACAAAACUAAAAACUGCCAUUUCCCCGCCGAAGCACUCAGAGAUGUUCUCCUUUGACAUUCUUCCAAGUCCUGUAGCUUACAGCAGAAGACCAGGGCGCUGAGCUGGUUCAUUCUGCUUCCACUGGACCCCACCCGUGGAGAAUUUGCCUUUUCACUGGAGAUGAACGGAAUCAGAUCCGCUGUUUAAUAACAAGCUCCUCGGGAUUCGUACAUGUCCCUGAGGAAUUGCCUGGGGUCCUAGUUACAAUGCACAGCUGGGUGGAGGGUCUCAGGAGCGAGUCGAAAGAGCAGGAACCAGUGCGAAGUCCUGAAGAUUCUGUGUUACUUGGCACAGCCUGUUCUUGAGUGGCUGUGACCUGAUGUGACUUUGUAACGAAGGCCUGGCAGCUCCGUGCCAGGCCUCAAACAGCAGCACCCAGUGUUAGCACAGAUGGUGCUCAAGGAAGACUAACUAUCACAAGAACAAAAAUACUACAUCCUACUAGCGCCUGCUUCAACUCAAGUAUCUUUUUAAAAAAACCCAAAAUCUACCACUUCCGGAUAGCACAGCUGUGUUACCUGAGGUUUAAUAUUUUGAUAGGGGCAGUAGCGUUUUAUGUAGUUCUUGUGUUUUUCAUCAGAUGACGGAUUCCCCCAUUCCUCCAGUUCUUCCAGUGUCAGAGGAAGUGUCGUAUCCAACAUGGUGUUGAGAACAUCCAAGAAAGGGGCCUGAAAAAGAGCCACGGAGACGAAAACGCUAAGAAAUUGGGGAAACAGGUCUCAGCUGACGACUCCUCUCUGACUGGACGUGCUGAGUGAGGACAGAGCUCACCGCCAGGCUGAGUCCCGGGAACCCGGGUGCUCGCUCAGGGCUUGGAUGACAUCUGUAUGAAGGAAGAGAAGUCAGAGAACACAGAGAUAUGCACACCCAUGUUCACUACAGCAAGAGGAAAACAAGGUAACUGUCAGCCAGUGGAAGAACGGAUGAAAAGACUGGUGCGUACACACGAGGGAAGGAAGACCAGGCACCGUUCAAGCUCAAAUAGAAGGAAGUUAAGACUAGAGAAAAGAAGACCAAGUAGCUAUUACAGAAGCAUCUACACUGAGAAGAGGGUACAAUGAGACUACAGCAAGUGUCACUCACUGAGACAUCCCGAUUUCUAGGGCUGGAGCACAUCUGCUCCUAGGACUUCUGAGACAACACACCUGCGUGGGAGCAGACAAUCUCCUUGUUCUGUUGUCCAGUGGCUGGGGCUUACUAACUGACCUUUCGGCUAGCAGCUCAAUACGAAUCGCAUUACACCACUAUUCUACGAGAUGUCUGACUCCGACAUUGACGAGGAAGUGAGAAGAAACGGCCGAGUGCAGCAGUUGAAGGCCAGGAGGAAGUCCCUGGCUUCUCGACGCUUACACAGGUCUGCUGCGGAAUGCUAAGGCUUUCUGCUCCCAGAGUCCAGACUUCUUCCUCUGCCUCACGGGGUCCCUGCGAGUCAGAAGUAACUCAAGGCUGGGAUUGAGGUUUGUCUUUGGACAGAAUCUUUUAAGGAGCACCCACGGGCAGUCUCGGGCAGGCACUGGACUGCUAACCGAGCCCAUCAGCCGCUUUGUGGGCAAAGAUGUGGCUCGCUGCUCCGGCCAAGAUUUAGUCUCAGGAAACUCCAUAAAGGGGUCACCAUGCGUCAGAAUUGGCGUGACAACAGUGGGUUUGAUACAGUCUUUUAAGAGAUGAAGCAUUACAUUUCAUAACUGAUUUUAGGAGCACCUGUGAACUCGUUGUUGCAGGCCCUUGUUAUUUUUAUUUAUACCACUAUAAAAACCCUCAAAACGAACUCUGCUUACCCCUCACCUCUUCUUGCUGCAGUCUAACCUGACAGAUGACUUCCUGCAGUACAACUGAACAACUCACAUCACUCCCAUCGCUCAGAAACGUAUCAGGUGCCUCUCCUCCUGAUUGACGCAGGCGUUCCUUACGGUGAAGGCAGAGAACCGCACACCACGGCUCCUCCACAGAAAUUCACUUCGUCACUCUAAUAAAAUGGAGUCGUUAAUCGCGUGUCCUCGAUAUUUUGUGAACUUCUUCAGCCUCAGUUUCUUCAGUUCCACAGCCUUUACUCAGGAAUACCAUUCCUCUCCUUACCAAUGGGAAUUGUAUCUUCCAUGGUUCAUCGGAAAUCCUACUUAGCCCAUACAAAUGUUCCCAAGCCCUCCUCCUCUCCUCUGAGCCCAGAACACAUUUUCUGGAUUUGAUCUCAUUUAUUCAAUCCACUGCACACUUUAUGUAACAUCUCUUAUGCUAAGCUGCAUCUUUCUUCAGGCCAGAUAUUUUCUCCUGCUAUCUUACCUUCUCCUCCAAGACUGCCCAACACAGUGCACACAGGAGUCCCGUGGCAUCCCCUGGAAGGCAUUGUAGCAGAACUGUGACAACACUGGAGCUCGGGAGGUCUAAAUGGUAGACUUGCUCAAUAAGGCUUUUUACAUCAAACAAAAAUGAAGCAUUUCCGCUUCCCUUCAGGGCCUGCUACCUUAACUCACAAGUUAACGAUGCUUUAGAUUUGUGUAAAUGAGAUGCCGUUUGCUGUUUCAGCAAGUUCUAUUGUGAGAGCCAAAUACCCUUCUGGACCAUAGUCAAUCAGCGUGUCGGGGACAUGACUGCCACCCCCACGGUGAAAAGAAGCAAAGCCACUCCCUUCCCCCUUGGAUACAAAAACUGCAAACAGACGAUGAGGCAGACACACAGAUAUGCAGUGGCAGACACACGGGGCAAAACAAGUACCCCUGCCGGGCUGUGGGAUGGGAAGCAGCAGGCAGAGGUAGAUACCAGUAGCCAAGCUGUAGUGUACUAGAUCUAUCAAGUUAUAUCUGUACAAAGAGAAAUAUAAUGGCAUUAGACCUUACCUCCAAAGUCCAGGUAUAAGACAGUAUUUUAAGUAAAACUGCAUUAAAAGCAAAGCUCUACAAGCACUUCUAAAAUAAACCUCAUUAUAUAUAUAAACGAUAACAAGGGUUCCUGGGGGCAAA